GACGAACGCUGGCGGCGUGCUUAACACAUGCAAGUCGAACGGAAAGGCCCCUUUGGGGGUACUCGAGUGGCGAACGGGUGAGUAACACGUGAGUAACCUGCCCUUGACUUCGGGAUAACUUCAGGAAACUGGGGCUAAUACCGGAUAGGAAUCCUUGCUUCAUGGUGGGGGUUGGAAAGCUUCGGCGGUUUUGGAUGGACUCGCGGCUUAUCAGCUUGUUGGUGGGGUAGUGGCUUACCAAGGCUUUGACGGGUAGCCGGCCUGAGAGGGCGACCGGCCACAUUGGGACUGAGAUACGGCCCAGACUCCUACGGGAGGCAGCAGUGGAGAAUAUUGCACAAUGGGCGGAAGCCUGAUGCCGCAACGCCGCGUGCGGGAUGACGGCCUUCGGGUUGUAAACCGCUUUCAGCAGGGGCGAAGCUUUUGUGACGGUACCUGCAGAAGAAGCACCGGCUAACUACGUG
rnacentral:rRNA from 1 species